CACGUAGGCACCAAGCGUUGUCCGGAUUUAUUGGGCGUAAAGAGCUCGUAGGCGGUUCAGUAAGUCGGGUGUGAAAACUUUGGGCUUAACCCAAAGCGUGCAUCCGAUACUGCUGUGACUUGAGUUCGGUAGGGGAGUGGGGAAUUCCUAGUGUAGCGGUGAAAUGCGCAGAUAUUAGGAAGAACACCAGUGGCGAAGGCGGCUAACUGGUCCGAUACUGACGCUGAGGUGCGAAAGCGUGGGGAGCAAACAGG
rnacentral:rRNA from 1 species